UCUGCUAUCGCGACGAUUUAUUGGAUGUUGAUAUCUUUUAGAACGAUUUUAUUGGAUGUUAAUUCCUUAAUUUUUCCGAUCAACUGACGUGUCUUGGACGAUUUCUAUCCAAAUAGAUCUCGGGUGCAUAUUUAUGAAAGGUAAGAAACCUAUGCUAGCACAAAAUGAAGGUUAUGAUAAAGUCUGCAAAAAAAUAAAAAGGUUAAGGACCGCUAAUGCAAUUUUUCCUUAACCCGAAUGUUUUAUGAGGAAAUUACAAAAACCCAGGCAUUUCAAGAUGACAAUGCAAAAAUUAGGUGGAAUGUUUUUUUAAUCAUAAAUAAGAUACUCACCCAACCUACACAAACCCUAAAUCAUUUCGUCUCUCUCUCUCUCUCUGUCUGCCCUCUCUCUCUACCCAUUUCUUUUCUCUCCAGCCUCUAACCAUUUUGCUUCAUCUUCAUCAUCGUAGCUCGUCGAGUUUCAUUCUUCAUCGGUGUCGGCACUCUAAACUGGUGAUGAUCAAUCGUUGGUUUAUCUAUUCUAUUUGCUUCGACGAUACUCUGAAACGCAGGCUGUGCUGAGGCUUGGAUUUGAGCACCAGUGAAUUGUGCAGUCGUUACAGUGGCACUCCAUCAGCCUGGAAUGGCCUUUGUUUGGAGGUUUAGUAGUUGUCAUAGGUGGUGGUCGAAUUUUUGGGGCAAUGUUGCCGCAGUUGUUUGAUGAUGCCGCUGUAGUUUGGUAUUGGUGUUGAUGUUGUGGUGGUCAUGGUGAUGAGGUGGUGGUGCUAGUAGGGUUAUGGACUCUUUCAAAUCAAUGAUGUGAGAUAGUGUGGUUGGAUGAAGUGGUGUUGGGUGGUGGCCCUCGCUGUAGUCGUCGCUUCAAAUUUUUUCUCCGAUCUCUCUCUUCUAUGUCGACAACCCAUUCAAACUCCGACAAUCAGUGACAUCAAAGCUACACCAGUCAACGACUGCUACAAAGCGUGAGGUGUUUGUAGUCCAUCAACAUAGCAUCGCGACGCUACUAUCCUUUGGUGCCGACGGCUUGUAAAGGGGGUUUUGGGGUUUUUUAUCUUUUUAUUUCCAAUUUGAGGAGGUUGUGGUGGUGACGAUUUGGGGAUUAUUGGUAGAUCUAGUGGUGGUAUUCACAAGAGUGUUGGUAGCUCUACGCAACACGACUCUAAUUUUGGAUCGAGUUGUGUAGUUUUUGGUGUGUUUAGUGGUGACGGUCAUUGUGGUUUGUGACGACGGUGGAGGUGUUAGUGUUGGCAAGGGUGAUGUGGGCGAUGUUGGCUAGGUUAUGGGUUGGGUAUUGUUGGUGUGUGUGGUGGUGGCAGUCGUGGUGGUUUCUGGCGACAAAGUGGUUGGUUGUGGCUAUGGAUGUCCUUAUUUUUGUUGGCAUUUGAUUUGAUUUGGUGGUGGCGAUUUUGUUGGUGUUGAUGGUGCUGUUGUGGUGAUAGCGAGGAUAACGAUGGUGAUGGUGUUAUGUGACCACUAUUUGGCGUAUGUAACCAAUCAUUUAGUUAUCUGCGACCAACAAUUUAAUUGUGACCUAAAAUUUUGAUAAUUUGUGACCAAUUAAUUUGAUCUUGAAAUAAUCUAUAACUCUUCGUCCAGAUGAAAAUGAUGAUUUGGUCUUAACGGCCUAGGCACCUUUCUUAAUUUAAUGAUAUGUAACCAAUAAAUAAAUUGUAACAUAUAAUUAUAUAUCUGUGACUAUUAAUUUUAUAAUUAUGACUUUAUUUUAUUUAAUUAAUAAAUAUUUUAAUUAGUUAAAUAUUUAUCAUAAUUUUGAAUUCAAAGGGCAAUUGGCACAAAACAUCCCUACAUUUCAAGCUUAUUGUGGAAGAUCUCUCUACUUUCAUUUUUUAGCAUUUUUGCCCUUAUUUCAACCUUUCGUUGCGCUGAAAAUCAUUUUCAUUGUUUUGAAACGUAAAAUAACAAUUAUACCCUCUUAUUUAAAAAAAAAAAAAAGAGAAAAAUUAAAAAAGAAAUUGCACCCUAUCCCUAAACUUUAAAAAAAUGCAAAUGAGUCCCCAAUACUUAAAAUAUUGAAAAUAACAAAAAAACACUUUCUCUUCUCUUCCUCCCCCCUUCACUGCCACCUUUCAAGCCAAAAAAUUUCGGCCAACCACUAUCCAUAGCAUCAGAUCUCCAUACCAACAAAAAUCCCUCACUCCCCUCUACACAUACCAACCAAUGGGCUUUCAUUAAUUUCAUUCUAAUGGUACAAAUUCUCCUUCGCGCAAGUUAGGUUUAUUUCUCGAUUUCUAAAUGAAUAACCAUGUCUAGGCAAUAAUGGGGAAGACACAUAUGCUCAUUGGAUGCACAAUGAAGUGUAGGUACCUCAGGUGGUGGUUCGCGAUCAUGGGUCCCACCACUGGCGUAAAAAAAAUCGCUUGAAAGCUGCACAGUUACUGUGUUCGAAGCUCAGCCGGCUGGGUUUGAUUGUGUGCAUUAAAGGAUGUUUGAGGACUAUGGAUAGGGAUGUUUUAAUGUGUAGAAUCGACAUGGAGGUUGUGUAGGGCAUGGGUGUCGUCGAAAGUGAAGAUUCAUGCCAUUUUUUGUUGCAUGAGUAACCUAUUUUGGCUUGAACUUUCAGGCAAAUUGAUUGGAGUUAUGGUCGGAUUUUGGGUGGGUUGCGAAGAGGGAAGUCAGGGCUUUAAGGUGUUAUGUUAGUUCGGCCAAAGUGGAGGUUGUGUAGGGCAUGGGUGUCGUCGGAAGUAAAUUCCGACCACUAUUUGUUGCAUGGGUAACCUAUUUUGACUUGAAUUUUCGGCCAAAUUGAUUGGAGUUAUGACCGAAUCUUGGGUAGGUUACGAAGAGGGAAGUGUGGGCUUCAAGAUGGUAUGUUGGUCCCGUGCCUAAGGUGGCCGGAGAGUGCAGUUUUGGUGGUCCAUAAGUGGUGGUUCUAAAAUCUUGGUUGUGAUGAAUUGAGGGAGUAUUGGGGAUCAUUUGCACUUUUUUAAAAGUUUAGGCGUAGGGUUGUAAUUUGUU
rnacentral:lncRNA from 1 species